rnacentral:rRNA from 1 species
UGCCAGCCGCCGCGGUAAUACGAAGGGGGCUAGCGUUGUUCGGAAUAACUGGGCGUAAAGCGCACGUAGGUGGUUAUAUAAGUCAGAUGUGAAAGUCCACGGCUCAACCGUGGAAGUGCAUUUGAAACUGUAUAACUUGAGUACUGGAGGGGGUAGUGGAAUUCCCGGUGUAGAGGUGAAAUUCGUAGAUAUCUGGAAGAACACCAGCGGCGAAGGCGGCUUUCUGGACCAAUACUGACGCUGAGAUGCGAAAGCGUGGGGAGCGAACAGGAUUAGAUA